ensembl:snRNA U1 U1 spliceosomal RNA
AGUAAUACCGAGCAAAAGGAAUCUCAUGAUCAUAAAGGUGGUUUUCCCAGGACAAGUCUGUCCUUUGAACUUGGGAUGCACUGGCCCUUGCAAUUUCUCGAAAUAUAGAAAACUCAGCUGCAUAAUUUUUCGUAGUUGGGGACUGGAUUCACUCACUUUCUUC